rnacentral:rRNA from 1 species
AUUGAACGCCGGCGGAAUGCUUUACACAUGCAAGUCGAACGGCAGCACGGGGGCAACCCUGGUGGCGAGUGGCGAACGGGUGAGUAAUACAUCGGAACGUGCCCGGUCGUGGGGGAUAACGUAGCGAAAGUUACGCUAAUACCGCAUACGAUCUGAGGAUGAAAGCGGGGGACCUUCGGGCCUCGCGCGAUCGGAGCGGCCGAUGUCAGAUUAGGUAGUUGGUGGGGUAAAGGCCUACCAAGCCGACGAUCUGUAGCUGGUCUGAGAGGACGACCAGCCACACUGGGACUGAGACACGGCCCAGACUCCUACGGGAGGCAGCAGUGGGGAAUUUUGGACAAUGGGCGCAAGCCUGAUCCAGCCAUUCCGCGUGCAGGACGAAGGCCUUCGGGUUGUAAACUGCUUUUGUAUGGAACGAAAAGGCUCUGGCUAAUACCUGGGGCUCAUGACGGUACCGUAAGAAUAAGCACCGGCUAACUACGUG